UGCAAGUCGAACGAGGCCCUCUUCCUUCGGGAGGAGGUGUCCUAGUGGCGAACGGGUGAGUAACACGUUGGUGACCUACCCCGAAGAGGGGGACAACCCCGGGAAACUGGGGCUAAUACCCUAUGUGAUCCUAAGGAUUAGAUGCCUAAGGAUGAAAUGGAUGCUUGCAUUCGCUUCGGGAGGGGCCUGCGGCCUAUCAGCUAGUUGGUGAGGUAAUGGCUCACCAAGGCGACGACGGGUAGGGGGCCUGAGAGGGUGGUCCCCCACACUGGAACUGAAACACGGACCAGACACCUACGGGUGGCAGCAGUAGGGAAUAUUGCACAAUGGGCGCAAGCCUGAUGCAGCAACGCCGCGUGCGCGAUGAAGGCCUUAGGGUUGUAAAGCGCUUUUCUGGGGGAAGAGAAAGGACGGUACCCCAGGAAUAAGUCUCGGCUAACUACGUGCCAGCAGCCGCGGUAAAACGUAGGAGGCGAGCGUUAUCCGGAUUUACUGGGCGUAAAGCGCGUGCAGGCGGUUUGGUAAGUCGGACGUGAAAGCUCCCGGCUCAACUGGGAGAGGCCGUUCGAAACUGCCAGACUAGAGGGCAGCAGAGGGAGGUGGAAUUCCGGGUGUAGCGG
rnacentral:rRNA from 1 species